GAUGAACGCUGGCGGCGUGCCUAAUACAUGCAAGUCGAGCGAACAGACGAGGAGCUUGCUCCUCUGACGUUAGCGGCGGACGGGUGAGUAACACGUGGAUAACCUACCUAUAAGACUGGGAUAACUUCGGGAAACCGGAGCUAAUACCGGAUAAUAUAUUGAACCGCAUGGUUCAAUAGUGAAAGACGGUUUUGCUGUCACUUAUAGAUGGAUCCGCGCCGCAUUAGCUAGUUGGUAAGGUAACGGCUUACCAAGGCAACGAUGCGUAGCCGACCUGAGAGUGUGAUCGGCCACACUGGAACUGAGACACGGUCCAGACUCCUACGGGAGGCAGCAGUAGGGAAUCUUCCGCAAUGGGCGAAAGCUUGACGGAGCAACGCCGCGUGAGUGAUGAAGGUCUUCGGAUCGUAAAACUCUGUUAUUAGGGAAGAACAAAUGUGUAAGUAACUAGGCACGUCUUGACGGUACCUAAUCAGAAAGCCACGGCUAACUACGUG
rnacentral:rRNA from 1 species